AACUCGGGCAGGUGACAGCCUGAAGCGCACCCAGCGUAGCUGGGCUCUCCUGCACUGGCCCAGGUGAGGCUGGGGUCUGGGGCCGGAGGAAGGACACAUGUGGCGCCGGGACGAACUGGCCGAGCUGGCCGCUUCAGCCACACGUCUGGAGCUGGGCAGGGUGGAGGGGGAGGAGGGACACGGGUGCCCACAACGCAGCACCACCCCGGGCAGGAGUGGGAGCCCGCCCCAGUCCCAGGCCCACUCGCCAUCUUCUGAACCCAGCAUGGGGUGAGAGUGGCCAGUGACUGGGUGAGCAGGAAGACGGACCUGUGUGAGGACACUGAGCACUGGCCCCUCCUGGCACUGGGGGCCGUACUCGGCUCAACCUCCCUGAGCAAAGACGAAGAAAGACGAACUUUGCUUAACGCUCAGUAUAAUUAGUCUUCAUUUACCGCCUGAAACGUUGUCUUUGUUUUCUUAUCACUCUGCUUCUUAAAUGACUUAAACUGCCUUGAAAGUGAUCUGAAAGGUAUUUCUGGAUGGGAGCGGAGGGAAUCUGUUCUUCAGAAUCUGAAAUUGGAGGACACCUGGAAAACAAGACCUCAGUGUGUUCCCGCAGGUCCCUGCAGACAGGAGACAGCAGAGCUGUACCUGCGGGUGCCGCUUCGCAUGCCGUCAGGGAGGACCCAGACGUCUCCAUGCUGCUGGGCGCCGCGCAGAUGGCUUCCCUGCCCGGGGCUGGCUGCUUCUAAUUUCAGCUGCUGGAGGCUCCGCGCUCUCACUCUUGCUCGCGCUCUCUCUCUCUCUCUUUUAUUCCAUGUUUAUUUAAAGCCAGAUUUUGAAAUGUUGUCUUCAGCCCUAAAAUCUCACUUUAUCUUCUUGCAGCAGAUCCUAUAAAACCCCACUUAGGUGCCUAGAGGGUGGGGGACUUCGAGGACAGAGUUUCCCUGGCCCGCUGCCUGACACUGUCUCCGUAAACAUUCCGAUGACUGGUCAGUGUUUUCCCAGUGGAGCAGCCCAGUGUCACGUCCACCCAGACGGAAUACAGACGAGCCGGGUGGACGUCGUGAGUCCAGAUACACGAGAGAGAGCAUGGCCUCCCCAGUGACAUGCAGGAAGCACGCCUGCCCCGGUGCUCGGAGUUGAACUUAGGCAGGGGAGUCUGAGGCUGCCCUGCCGUCUCCUGUCUGGGGUCGUGAUGCAGUGGGGCCUGUCAUGAGUGGUCCAGACGUGUACCCCCGGAGGUGGAACAGUGACAGCCUCAGGUGCCCUGGUGCCUCCUCCUUCCCGGCUCUUCCUGGCACUCUGCUUCCUUCUCCUAACCUGAGAGCCACACGCUAUUUCUUCUUGUCCAUCUAGAAACCAAGGACAUCUGGAAGGGGUCUUCCACCUUAGACCCUAACAGGGGAAGUGCAACGCAGCUUUCUGGCCGCGCUGACCCGACAGGGCUGCUCCGAUGGGGAAGCGUGGCCACUCGCACAGAUGUUCAUUUGCACAGCAUCAGACCACACAGCAGCUGGGGCCCUUUGUCCCACCGGCCAUGGGAGCCCACAGUCAGCCCGUGUGCAUGGUAGGUGCUCCAGAAAUAUGAGGUCCCUUUCUCUUUGAUGAGACGUAACUACCCUCAUGUCCCUCUAUGGCUCGCCUCAGAAUGUGCUAGAAGAGCUUUGAUGAAAGGGGGAUGUCUUGAUGAACUGCACAGGGUGAAGGCAAAACUGGCCGAGGGGCCAGGCUGGAUGUGUAGCGGGGAGGACACCUGCAGGAAUGGAGUUUACCUAAAUAGGUGCUCCUGGAGCCAGUAGUGCUAAGGAAGGAGCUCCCUGGCUUAUCGUGCGCAGAGCCGCAGCGCCCCAGCCCAGCCACGGAGCCACACAGCUGCCUCUGGCUAGGGGCUAGGAGGCGGGCAGGGUGGGACGCAGCCGGGGGCAGUUGCCCCAGGGCUGGCUAGAGAUGGCGGCCGUGGCCAAGCCAGUCUCCAGCCGACUUAACGCCAGAGCUACCGGGGCCCAGAGGAGGCGUGGCUGUGUUUCCAGUGAGAGCCAAGCAGUUUUCCAAAGAGCGCCGCAAGCUACUGCCAGGGCCUUUAUGUUCUAAAGAUGUGCGGAGCGUGUCUCAGUGGCUUCGCCGGCAUACUUGGCCAGAAAGUAACAUGAUUUCGAGAAAACAUGAUUUGAGUGUUAAGCUCGAGAAUAUCAUUUCCCCCAGCAAGUUCUUUUUCUUCUCACAAAGUUGGAAGACACAGAAAUCUUUGUAGAGGUUCAUGGAAAACUUUAGCUGUUUCCUAGCUGCCCAGAUGAAAAGAAUAUUCCAUCCACUGGGGGAAAACAAUUACUCUAAACAGAUUCGGGUGGCAUUUUACCCCUCGUCCAACUGGCUGCACGUGACCUUUGCCGGCGUGGCUCCAAUGCCCAGAGACGAGGCUGGUGUGAAGAGCUGGCUGCUGAUCCCUGGAAUCUGCCGCUAAUUCUCACUCAGAUUUUGAGAUUUUCUCUGCGGCUGCAGGAGCCAACAGAGUCCUUUGUGCGGCCUCAGGACUCGGCUUUCAGAGGCCCUGGAGCCAGUGGUGUUGGAUUCAGCCGUAAUUCUUCAUUCUUUGGCUCAAGGGAAAACCUUGAUUCUGCACAGGAUUGCAAAAGCCGAGGCACUCCAGCUAGGACACGGCGUCAUUGGAGUGCCCUGGGAGGAGUGACACCCUCCUCCUGGGCUGGCGCGGGGAAGAGAAGCUCCCGCGUGUGAAACAGCUCCACCACCAAGCGCCUGCAGACGAGCGGUGUGUUCCGCCUGGAACCUGCCGAGGGAACGUGUGG
rnacentral:lncRNA from 1 species